AUGAACUCCCGGACAUCCCCCACCCCAGCCCAGGGCGGGAGGGUUCUUCCAGCGGAGACCCCAAUAUCCCCGGUAACCCCUGGGUGGCCCUCCUUGCGGUCGCCCUUUUGCCUGUGGGGAAGCAGCAGUCUCCCCCUGCUUCCGUCGCCUUCUCCUCCCCUCCCUGGGCCCUGGGAUGGACCGCCUCGCGGGCGGGUGGUCUGGAGAGGAACACGGUUUGGGGGGCAGAUGGAGAAGGGGGCACUUCUUGGAGGCGUGUGAGCCCUAGAGAGAGCCCCGAGGCAGUGGCAACAGCUGGAAGUGUGGCUGUAGGGUGUGGAGGGAGCAGGCCGAGCCUGAGAAAACCCGGGAAGUGGGUUGGGGGAAGGGGGAAGGGGAAAGGUGGUAACUGGAUCCGGAGAGCCGCGCUGCUCAAAGGCCCACACUUUUAAGGGUAUUCUACAUUAUAGCCUGUUUGGCCUCCAGUGUCCUUUCCUUUGGGAAGGAGCGGUAAAAGGCCUUAGGUAUUGAUGAAGGAAGGACGUUCAGAGUUACUCCCUCCUUAGUUCGGUGUUGGGAGAGAAGAGGAGACAUAAUGGGAUACUAUUUUAUUUGAGUGGGAGAUAAGGGAAUUUUCACCUGAGGUAGGAAAUUAAUUCCAAAUUAGAUCAUUAUCUCAUUUUCACCGACCCCGGCCCCCAGUUUCUAGGCCUCUUUUCUGUUGACAUCUAAAGCUUUUUGAUUGCGUGAAGGCAAGUUGUUUGGUGUAUUAAAGGCAUUUAAAUGUUUUUCGUUAGGAAAAAAUAAUGGAGGGUAUGAGUAGCUUAUUUCAAAAUAUUGUUUACAAGUUACAGAUCAGAGUUUCUCCUAAGACAAUGCCUCUGUGACUGUUGUGUUGUGCCGUGAAACUUCAUUAUGAUGUCCCUCAUAGUUAACUUGAUUCUUACUUUUUAAAAACAGUCCUAUUAAAAACAUGGGACUUCACCAGAUCAAUGCAUUAUUAUACCUCCUUAUUGAGUAGGUUUGUCUCGAUGUAUCUUAUCUGAAUUAUUAAAAACAUUUUUUUGGUCUCAGGCUGCUCUUGAGUCUUGCAGAAUUUACUCUGAUGUUGGCCAUAUUUAUUUAUGUAAUAUAUUUAAAAUUCCCUAGUGAUUUGACUCAAAACUGUGCAAGUGUUGGUACAAUUUUUCAUACUCAAAUCAACAAGAAUGCCAAGUUGUUUUUCCUCCUUGGAUUUAACAAAGAGAGAUGAAAAAGUAAUACUGAAAUACUUAUUAUUUUCAAGAUGUCAUAUACCAUUAUUAAACGUAUCAUUACUAUUUGUGGUUUUCUCUUGUGUUGGAACUUUGAUAAUCUAAAUGAUUUGUGAAAUUCAUCAUUCUAAGUAUGUGAUGAGUAAUAGACAUAAAUGAUAGUACUUGAGCUUUAUUUGUGUCACUGAUUCUACAGUGAUCAUUUUUCCAAUUAGACAUGUUGAAUAUAAUUCUUUAAAAUUAACUUAAAAAUAACCAAUACUAGCAGAUUUUUUGAAUGUAGUAGUCUGUGAGAAAUGAUCUGUUUUACAGAGCAUGUGUAUGAACUCUGACCUCUGUAUUUGUUCAAGUGCCAAAACUCUGAAUGGAAGGAUGACUUUGUAUUUUUGCGGUACGGUGCAGAAAUAGGGUCAUAAAUGUCUGUACUGAUAUACAGUGAAACAAUAAUUCUCACUUUUUAUUUGCAAGAAAAUAUAUUCCAGGAUAGUUGACAUAUAUAUUCCUAAUGAAAGAUUCAGUUAAUACAGUUGCCAACAGCCUAAAACAUUUCUUCUGUAAUAAAGUUGUACAAGCCUGAGAAUAUAAGACUUCUUUCAAAUACUUUAUUUUCUAUUACUUAAAAAUGGUAAGUUACUGCUCUCGUAAUUCAUAUGGUCUCUUUGCUUUAUAUGAGGUGACAUUCAUCAUAUUUUUAGUACUUAAUGCUUAAAAGAAAUCUAGUAUCGCUCUAGUAUGCAUAUUGUUAAAACAGUACUGCUCUUCAUAUGUAAGGGAUGCUGAAGCCUUGCUUCAAGUAAGCAUUAUAGUAUUUCAGAGGAAGAGAAUAGGAAAUGCAACAAAUUAUUUUUUUUAAGAAGAGUACCUUUAUAAAUCUGGAAGGAAACUUCUUCCAGAAAAUAAGUUGCAAAGUACAUUUAGAAAAGGGUCAGAUAAUUUAAUCUUGGAUUAUAACCAAUAAAUAGCUUUAUUUUCACCAAUAUUUUAUUUCAUCGAUAAUUUAGUAGGCCCAGUUCUGUAAGUGGAUUAUGUUGAUUACUUUCAGCUCAUUGAAGGACUUGUAGUACAGUCCACGUGUUUCCUUUUUAAGUGUGGAAAUGUAGUAUUUUGAGUGUCUGGUCAAGUAACCAGGUAUUUCAUCAUUUCAUUUAUGUAACUCUCGACAUUUACCAAAGUUUGUUUCAUAUGCUCUUGCUUACUAAGAAUACUGGUUGAUUUAAGUUUUUUUUUUUUUUUUUUUGGCCUUUUAAGUUGUCUUAUAAAGAUAGCUGACAUUUGCUGAAUUCUGACCAUAAGAAGUUGUAAGUGGCCAUUCUUGGAGUGUGUUAAUUAAAAUAUACUCUCCAAGAUAAAUCAAAUGUGAAAAGCAAGGUGCAGAAUAGUGUGGAGGAGGCCACCAUUUGUGUUCAAAGAAGGGGAAAAUAUAUGUAUUUGUCUCAGUGAGAAAUUGGUAAAAUUGAUUACUUCUAAAUAAGGGAAUGGGUGUCUGGGGUAACAGGCAUCAAAGGAUCCCUUUUGAGUUUUGAGUCAUGCAAAUAUACUAUUUACUUAAAAUAAUAAAUAAAGGCAUCUAGGCCUUUUUUCCUUGAGACUGUUUGGAAAUCCAUCCUUUAUGUGUCAGACAUUAAUUUUAUAUAUGUGUGAAUUUUAAGUAAUAUUUCAAAUUACCAGGAAUGGAAAAUUGAUUAAAAUAUAUUUUAUAGUUAUUUUAUGAGUCGAAUUACUAAGUGAAGUGUUGAUUGUGAGGAUAUAAUAAAACUAUAAUCUGUAUUCACAGGUUGUAUUAUUAUUAUUGCUGUUAACAACUAACCACCAUUUGUAGAGUGGCUCUCAGUACCAUUUGUUUAUGCAUUAUUGCUAAUUUUCAAGAACAAUUCUUUGAAUUAGAUUUCCUAUUUCUUAGAUGAGGAAAUUGAGAUUCAAAGAAGUUAAAUUAUUUGUCUGCAAACAUAUAGCUUUGGGAUUUGGAUCUAGGUCUGCUUGUGUUUAUAUUGUACCACACUGUCAUUACUUUCCAAGGAUAGGCAUGCUUUAAUUAUUUAAAAAUAACUGAGACUGGUUUGUAUUACUGGUUACAGGAUUUAAACACAACCUAAUUAAAAAAAUAAAUAAACACAACCUAAUUUAAUAGUUUAAACGUUAAAAUAAGGGACGCCUGGGUGGCUCAGUCAUUAAGUGUCUGCCUUUGGCUCAGGUCAUGAUCCCAGGAUCUUGGGAUCAAGUCCCGCGUGGGGCUCCUUGCUUAGUGGGAAGCCUGCUUCUCCCUCUGCCUGCUGCUCCCCCCCUGCUUGUGGUCUUUCUCCCUCUCCCUCUCUCCCUCUGACAAAUAAAUAAAAUCUUAAAAAAGAAACACAUUAAAAUAAGUGUUAACCUGUAAAUUACUUAAAGAUUUAGUUGAUGUCAAUAUGCAAAAUACUUUUAAAAAAUAUUUAUUUGAGAGAGAGUGCAAGCUGCGGGAGGGGCAAAAGGAGAGUGUGAGAGAGAAUCUCAAGCAUGCUCCCCACUGAGCUCAGAGCCCUGCAUCAGGCUUCAUCUCAAAACCCUGAGGUCAUGACUUGAGCUGGAACUGUGAGUCAGACACCUAACAGACUGAGCCACCCAGGCACCCUUGUAAAAUACUUUAAAAUUUGAAGCUCAGUGAAGUAAAAUGCCCUUAAGUCAGUGCACUACCCGUGUUUGAUCGUUAUAUGUUAUUUGUAGUUUUUUCAUAUUGUAAUUGUACUUUGCUAACGUUUUUUAAGAUUUCAAUAGGGAAUAUUUUAAUUUAUGGCAUUACAAAUUGAUUUCAUGAAAACUAUAGUGUAAGUUUUCUUUUAAGUGUUUAAAUGGAUUUUGUAUUUAGUGUCAUUUUAAAUUUAAUAUAUUUGAUCUAGGUUGAUCUAUAGAACUAGUUGGCAAGUCUUUAGAAGUAAAUCUGUUGAUUUCUGUAGACCAUAGUUUCUCAUCCUUAGCAUUAUUGACAUUUUAGGUGGAUAAUGAAUUCUUUGCUGUCAGAGUGGCUCUUUGCAUUGUAGGAUGUUAAGUAGUAUCCCUGGCUUCUAUCACUAGUUGCCAGUAGCGCAGCUAACCCUCCUCCCUACCUCCCCUUGCUCCCUGCCAGUUGUAGCAACUAAAACGUCUCCAGACUUUGCCAAAUGUUGAGAACCACUGCUGUAGACAAAACUCUUUAGAAGAACAUUUCAGACUAUUAACUUUGUAAGAUGUGUAGUAUAUUUUAUCUAAAAGAUGCACAGUAAAGGUACAAAAAAGUUUAUAGCAUGGCUACUACUAGUUUUGAGUGAUGUUUUAAGAUUUUAUUUUUGUUUUCCCUUUGUAAAUGAUUUUUUUCUUUUAAACUCUUUCCUUUUUGAUUUAAAGAAAAAGGUGAAAUUCCCUCCUGGAAAUGAAUGUAACCGGAAUUUGAACAAUUUUUUUAAGAGUAGAAAAGCAGUUUUUACAGUUACAUAAGUUACAGCUCUAUGUAACUUAUUUAAAUAGUGUGCCUUACGGGGUUCUGGGUGUGGGCUGAGUGAGGAAAGCUUUUGAUGGGGUAAAAAAAAAAAAUUAGAGCCUGUCCAAGUAAUACCGUUUGGGGUGCAUUUCUUGUUUUAUUUAUUGUAAAGACUUUGAUCUCUGUCCAUCAGGCAUAGAUUUAGAUGCAUCUGGGAUUCCCUACAUGUCACCCCUUUGUGAAGAAUAUAUAUUCUUAUUUUCCAGUAAAUGUUAUCAACAGUUAUUGAGCAUAUUGGCCACAGCUCCAGAUUUACUUGGUUGGAGAUAAAAAUGUUAGGUGCAAGAGUAAAUAUUAUGGGAGUUUUGAGGGUAUAUGUAUGGAGGGAGGGUUUUGUUUUUGUUUUGUAGUUUUUAUUUUAAUUCCAGUUAGUUAAUAUAUAGGUUUAUAUUAGUUUCAGGUCUAUAAUAUUGGAGGGAGGUUUUUAAGCUAGGUUCCGAAGGAAAGUUAAGACCGACCUCAAAUUUCAGAAGACAGUGCCAAAGGAAUUACAGGAAUACUGGAAUUUAUAAGUAUAUGAUUUUUUUUUUUUUCUGUAGGCACCUGAAUUGGAACUAGGGUGCAGAGAUUAUUGACAAAAUUAGGCAAGAAACACAUUUACAUAUUUAGAAAGGUUGCGUGCACAGUUCUGAUAUACACACAUAGUUGUGGAACUAGCGCCUAAAUAUCUUCACUAUUAUCUUUAGCAAAAAACACCUUUUUUCAUGUCAAAGUAAAAGGUAACCGUAAAGUAUGACCAGUACCCAGAUCAGGUCUGAAACAAUAUUACCAGCACCACAGGAACGCCCAGCCAUCUCUUUCCAGGCACUUUCCUGACUUCUGAUAGUACAGAUUUGCUCUGAGUAUGUUUGAGUAAAAGAAUAGACGUGAGUGUAUACUAUAUGAUUGUUUUAAGUUUGAAGGUUUUCAGAAGAUGCCCUUCAAAAUCUUUGUUCAGGGGGCACCUGGGUGUCUCAGUCAGUUAAGCAUCCAACUCUUGAUCUUGGCUAGGGUUGUGAGUUUGUACCCUGCAUUGGGCUCUGUGCUGGGCGUGGAGCCUACUUAAAGAAAAAAAACAGGGGCACCUGGGUGGCUCAGUCGUUAAGUGUCUGCCUUCGGCUCAGGUCAUGAUCCCAGGGUCCUGGGAUCGAACCCCGCAUCGGGCUCCCUGCUCAGCGGGAAGCCUCCUUCUCCCUCUCCCACUCCCCCUGCUUGUGUUCUCUCUCUCACUGUGUCUCUCUCUGUCAAAUAAAUAAAUAAAAUCUUUAAAAAAAAACAAAACAAAACACAAAAUCUUUGUUCAAAAAAUGUAUUAGUAGUGUCUUAGAAAAUGUGUUAAAAUGCAGUGAGUUUUCGAGUUGAAAGAGACCUUAGAUCUAGGCCAGAUUCCCCAUCUGUAAGAACAGGAAACUGAGGCCUGAAGAAAUUGAUUGUUAUUCAGUGAUACAGAUCUGGUUAGUGAACCCAGGCUUUUUGCAUACCAGUCCAUUCUAACUAUUAUAUAUGAUUGCUUUAUGGGACUAUUUUUUUCAUAAAUAAUACUGUAAAUGCUGAAUGCUAAUAAAGUAUGAGUGCCGAUUUAAUAUUGACUAUUGUAUUUAAGUAUAUUUUGCCUUUUUUUCUGUCUUGGUGUGAGAACUUAAAUUUGGCAGGAGGCAGAAAUAUUUCACUCCUUAAGCAUGAUAGAGUAAAUUUAGCUUAGUGAUUAAGAGCGUGGGCUUUGGAAUUAGAUUUGCUUUGAGUCCUGGCUUUUCUAUUUAACACCUGCAGCAUUGACUCUGUAUCUUAGUUUUCCUAUCUGUAAGAAUGUAGGAAGAUUGAGCUUUUACAGGGCUCAGAGCAAUUCCUGGGACAUAUGAACAGAUAGCUGUUAAGAUGUCAAAAUUAGCCAUAUGUUCAUAUUCUGCUUAUUGUUGUUUUGGAUCAUAAAGGUUUCCUUCAGUGGUGUAGUGAAAGCUCUAUGUGAAUUUGCCUGCAGAAAAGAUUUAAAUGAAUGAGCUUUAGUACUUCUGAUAGAGUUUCUUUGUCACCUGUGUGCAAACAACCUGUGGCCAAGGGGAAUGCAAAAGAAAAAUGUGGGCCUUGUUCUCAAGAUGUUAGUUACCUUUCUUUAGGAGACAAUUAUAAAUUGGGGAAGAGUUUUUGUUAAAAUGUGACCUUUUUAAGUGAAAAAGAAGUACUUUAUUUGGAAGCCUUUCAGAUAAUACAGCUUUACAGGAUUAUUUGGGAUUUCUUGAUAAGGCUCUGGUGGCCUUGAACUGCACCAAGAAAUCUAGAUUCUAAUCCUAUGGUAUAUGUAAUCUUGAAUCCCUUGGUAAACUUCCUAUCUUACUUUAUUUUUUUUUAAAGGUUUUGUUUGAGGGGGUGCCUGGGUGGCUCAGUCGGUUAGGCAUCUGCCUUCCGCUCAGGUCAUGAUCCUGGGGUCCUGGGAUCAAGCCCUGAGUAGGGCUCCCUGCUCAGCAGGGAGCAUGCUUCUCCUUCUGCCCCUCCCCCUGCUCAUGCUCACUCUCUCUCUGUUAAAUAAAUAAAUAAAAUCUUUAAAAAAAGAGAGAGAUUUUGAGAAUGAGAGAGUGUGCACACUUGAGAGCACGAGUUGGGGGAGAGGCAAGGGAGAGGGAGAAACAGACUCCCCGCUGAGCAAGGAGCCCGAUGGGGCUGGAUGCCAGGACCCUGAGAUCACGACCUGAGUGGAAGGCAGAUGCUUAACUAACUGAGCCGCCCAGGCGCCCCUAAAAUUCCUAUUUUAAAAUUGGGUCUUGGAAAAUAGAAAGUGGCGGUCACAUCCAUCUGACAUCCGUGGUGUUCUUUUAUGUAAUUUUGCAAAGGAGAGAAUUUCAUUCCAUUCAAAACCUUUCUCCUUUUUCUCCCUUUAGUUCUUUGCUUUUAGCAAAUUUAAAAUAAUAAAUACUUAGUUUAAUGCCUACUAUCUGGCAUUUUAUAUGUAUGGCAGCCUUAUGAGAUUGAUGUUAUUUUACAGAUUAGAAAAUUGCAGCUCUGGAGAAAGUACGUAACUUUCUCAGUAUCAAGCAACUUGGUGGAACAGGGGUUGGAAACUAUGUCUCCGACUCCCAAAUAUUUACUGAUGAUAGUGGAAAGAAUAGUGUACAAUCAUGUCUGCUGCUUGCUACCUGUCCAUUAUUUUUAAAGAUGCUUUUUAAAAUUAUGGAAUAUUUUAUACUUAGAAGUUUAGAAAACAGUAGGUGUGAACAGCUUUAUGGUCAUGGUAUAGAUUUAACAGAUCUUAACUCUCUCAUACUUGGUUAACUUGCCCUUUCCCUCAGGAAAUAAAACAACAUACAGAUGAAGUUCACUUUGUAACCUUUUCCCUUUUCCAUUCUCUUUCUUAGAAGUAACCACUGUGCUGAAGAUGCCUGCUUCUAUCUCUACAUAUCAUAUGGAAACAACUACUUCGGCAUUACCAGUAUCUUCCCAUUUGUCAAAUUCAGAGUAACUUCUCAUCAGUUCAUUUUGUCCAUCUUUCACUUCAUUUCUCAGAGCUUGCCUCUUGUGGUUGCUCUGAUAACUGCUGGUCUUCCUUCAUACUGUUACUACCCUUUCUAAGUUGUUUUCAACCCUUUUUCUCCAUUUAUCUCCUAAAUCUUUGUUUCCUCUUUUGCAUUCCUUUCGUUAAUUACUCUAGGUCGGGUUUUCAUAUCCCAGAUGGACUAUUUAUAGUAAAACAGUUUGCUUAUUAUUAUUUUUUUAAACUUUAUCUUUUUUAUCCCUAGUUUUUUUUUUUUUUUAAAGACUUUAUUUGUCAGAGAGAGAGCACAAGCAGGGGGAGUGGCAGGCAGAGGGAGAAGCAGACUCCUCGCUGAGCAAGGAGCCUGAUAUAGGACUUGAUCCCCAUCCCAGUACCCUGAGAUCAUGACCCAAGCUGAAGGCAGAGGCUUAACUGACUGAGCCACCCAGGCGUCCCAAACAGUUUGCUUAUUUACAUUUAUUUCUCUGCAUCCUCUGUUCAACUCUCCUGGUGCCAUGCCACAGGACUGAUUCAUUGAUUGAUUUUUAAAGAUUUUAUUUAUUUGAGAGAGAGAGCAUGGGGAGGGGAAGAGGGAAAGAAAGAAGCAGACUCCCCACUCAUUAGGGAGCCUGACGUGGGGCUCCAUCCCAGGAUUCUGGGAUCAUGACAUGAGCUGAAGGCAGACGCUUAACUGACUAGGCCACCCAGGUGUCCCCAUGCCACAUGAUUUAAUUUUUAAAAUAUGAUCUUGUCAUUUUCCUUUAGUCUCUCUACUGCCUAUUGCAUAAAGGCAAAACUUUUAUACUUUUGUUCUAGCCUACCUUUCUUGACCUAUUUCCUGUCAAGUCUCAACACAGUUACAUGCCUACACAUACUUCACUCUUAGAUCUUCAGCUACACGAUAUUGCUCACCAUUUAGUUAUUCUGUCUGCCUUCAAUAAGCCCUUACCUCCUUCUUUGCCCUUGAAAUAUACUUCUCCUAAAAUGCCACUCCUGAUAAACCUUUUGUGAAAACACAGUUUAUCCCUAUUUUCCUGUAUCAUUUUGUCAGGACUUUGUUAGAGCAGUUAUAUAUGUAUUGGUAAUUGUACAUGUGUCUUUCUGCUGCUGCUAGAUAUCAUUGAGCUCCUUGAAGAUACUUACCUUUUUUCCUUCAUCUUGUAUAGUGCCUGGAAUUGGUAGGCUUAGUAACAUUUACAGUAAGCCAAAAAAUCUUUGAAGACAUCUACUUUUUUUUUUUGGAGUUGCUGCUGCACGUGCAUAAACCCUUUGCAUAGGUGUUAGGGCAGGCCUGUUACUCUUAAUUAUUUUCAGCCUUUUUGGGAUUACAUAUUUUUCUAGUGAUUACAAAUGCAGGGCUAGUAUAUGUAGACUUCUUUCUCAAGUGACUGUGCUUUACUUUUAGGUUUCCUUGUUUUGUUUUUGUGGAUUUUUUGGUUUGUUUUUGUUUAAUUUGAGAGAGAGAGAUUAAGCAAGGGGGAGAGAGAGAGAACAUGAGUGUGGAGGAGGAACAGAGGGAGAAGCAGACUCCCCACUGGGCAGGGAGCCCAAUGUAGGGCUCUAUCCCAGGACUCUAGGAUCAUGACCUGAGCCGAAGACAGACACUUAACUGACUGGCCACCCAGGUGCUCCAAGGUUUCUUUGUUUUACGUGAACUAUCCUAUUUGGGAUUGGCAUACUUAAAGUGUGGGUUGUCUGAUACUAUUGCUUUUUAGCAGUGAUAAUACAUUUUGCUUCAUUUUUCUUAAAUCCUUCUGUAGUAUUUCCUUUUUUAAAAAAAUAGAAUGUACUGAAGUUGAUGCAUCUAUGGAACAUUUGGAUAUUUCCGGGUGUUUUGUUUUUUUUUUUUGGUGCACGUGUGUAAGAAUUUUAGGUGUGUAUCUGAGAGUGGUAUUACUAGUCCAUUGGGUGUUUGGAUGAGAUAUUAGGUGUUUGGAUGAGAUAUUAGGUGGUUAGAUGUGUCAGACAUUGUAUCUGUAGGCUUGGUCAUACUUUGUUAUAUCCUUAGGUGUUUACUUAGGUGCUUUAUCUCUUAUCUGCUAGGAACUGUGAGUGUGAGUCAUUAAAGGCAGAGACUUAUAUUUUCAGUUCUCCAUUGCUUAGCUCAUUGCCAGGUAAGAAGGAGGCACUUGUUUUCCCAAAUGAGUUUAAGGAUUUUUUUUUAAGCGCCCGGGAGCUCAUACCCAACCAUUUGAAAGUAUGACCGCUUAUCCUGCUUCUGAGACUAGGGACUUUAUAGUAUGUUGAUAAAGGUGACCCAUUCUGUUCAGUGUGAGUGUUGAUAAUUUGGUCAGUUUGUGCUUUGGGGUGAUACAAUGUCAAAGCCAAAAACUGGGAAAUAAGAUGGUGGGAAGGCAGUCUUUUUUUUAUUUAUUCUGUAGUUUUCCCUGUUAAAGAUCUCAGGGGGCAUCUAUUUAGUAUUAUAUAUGACAUCAUCUGUAUCACUAUGGGUUAACUCUUUAGUUUAAGUCUACAUUUUUCUUCAUUUAUUCAACAAAUAUUUAUUGAAUGCCAUCUAUGUUGUUAAUAAGGUAGACAUAGUCCAGGGCACCUGGGUGACUCAGUCUGGGCGGCUCAGUCAGUUAAGCCUCUGCCUUCGGCUCGGGUCAUGAUCCCAAGGUCCUGGGAUUGAGCCCCACAUUGGGCCCCUUGCUCAGCAGGAAGUCUGCUUCUCCCUCUCCCCCUCCCCCUGUUCAUGCUUGUGCGCUCGCUCUCUCUCUGAAAUAAAUAAAUAAAUCUUAAAAAAGAUACACAUGGUCCAUGCUAUUAUGGAGUAAAUUAUGGUCUAGUAAGGCAGUGAAACAUUGAACAAUUAUAUGUGUGUUUGUUGAGUUUAAAUAAGGAGAACUGUUGGGGUGGGGUAACCUACCUGAGGGAAAGAGUUCCUUGGGAAUAAUCCUUAAACUGAUAGUUGGGAGGGUAAAUUGGAAUUAACUUAGUCAUACAGUAGGAUGAUCAAUUCUUAUAUGCAUACAGAAAGAACUAGUAAUCGUUAUACAGUCAAUGUAGAACCAUUUAAUUGCUUUUCCCUUUUAAAUAAUUGGCCAGUUUCUGUGAAUACAAAAGUAACAUGUUUGCUUAUUAUUGAAUUUUGGAAAAUACAUAGAACUAUAAUAAAGUAAAAAUUAUCUGUAAUCCCACCCCUGGAGAUAAUUCUUUUCUUUAAAAUAUUUUGUUUGUGUAUGAAAUAUUUCAAACAUGUAGAGAUACAUCUUCAUUUUGGUUAUUUCCUUCUAUUGUUUUUUUUCUUUCAUUUUUUUCUGUACAUAUAUACAUACAUUUAGAAGUUUUUAAAAGAGCUUUGAAUAUAAUUCCAAUCAGACUUUCAACCCAGAUUUGUAAUUUUUAAUGUUUUUCAAAGUGAUUCAAAGGUGUCUUUCACUACUAGACUCCCUACUUUUUUUUUUUUUUUUAAGAUUUUAUUCAUUUAUUUGAGAGAGCAUGCCCCCAUGCACAGGCAGGGGCAGAGGGAGAAGCAGACUCCCCACUGAGCAGGGAGCCCGAUGCUCCCUGAGAAGCUCAAGAGUAAGGAAGCAUCUUGGCUCAUCUUUGUAUCAUCAGUACCAACAGCUCUUUAUUUAACAACUAUUUGAGGGCUCCCUUUAUCCUAGGUACCAUGAUAUGUGCUGAGACUAUAGUAAUGAGUGGGGCAAGGUAAGACAGACAAAUAAGUGAUAAAAGCAAUGCAGAGAAAUACAAUAUUGUAUAGAUGAAAUUAAUUGGUUGUUUUUGACUGGGUGUUCAGAAAAGGCCUUUCCUAGGACUCGACUUAAAUUGAGAUCUGAAUGAUAAAGCUGUGUCUUUAGGGAAAGAAAAUAUUCCGUAUCAGAGGAAAUAGUGAAUGUAAAGGCCAUAAAUUAGGAAUAAAUUUGCUAUGUUUAAGCAAGCAAAAGGUUAUUGUGGCUGGAGUAUUGUGGGUAAGAGGCGGUGAAUGAUGCAAGAUGAAGUUGGAGAUGUGGGAGGCAGGAGCCAGAUCACAUAAAACUUCCUAAGUCCAAAGUAAAGAAUUUGUAUUUUAAGUGACUCUGAAAGCCAUUUGAGGAUUUAAAGAAAAGAACAAAAUUUUUGUUUUUAAAAGACCACUUCAGGGGCGCCUGGGUGGCUCAGUUGGUUGAGUGUCCAGCUCUUGAUUUCAGCUCAGGUCAUAAUCUCAGGGUUAUGGGAUCAGUCCCCGAAUCGGGCUUUGCGCUGGGCAUGGAACCCUCUUGGGAUUCUGUCUUUCCCUCUCCCCCACCCCACCCCUACCCCUACCACCCGCACAUUCUCUCUAGAUCUCUCUUAAAAAAAAAAAACAAAAACAAACUUUGAUGCCUUAAACUUAUGACUAAGGAAAUAAUGCGGGGUGAUGCCUGAUUCCUCACUGCUAAUCUGAGAUGUAUUUUUGAGCAGAUAAAGGUUGCCCCUAAGGUUACGCGUCUACUUUGUGGGAUCCUUGGGAGUCAAGACCUGCCCAUCCCCCCUUUAAAAAAAGACCACUUUGGCUGCUGUGUGGAGAAUGAAUUGAAACUGAAGAUGUAAAGAAAAAGGAUGGGGCGCCUGGGUGGCUCAGUCUGUUAAGUGUCUGCUUAGCUCAGGUCAUGAUCCCAGGACCCUGGGAUCUAGCCCUGCAUCCAGCUCCCUGCUCUGUGGGGGGCUUGCUUCUCCCUCUCCCCCUGCUUGUGUUCCCUCUCUUGCUGUUUCUCUGUCAAAUAAAUAAAUAAAAUCUUUAAGGAAAUAAAAAAAUAAAAAAUAAAUAAAAAGGUUUUAGGAGUUAGGGGUUGAGUUUGGCUGGAGUAAAGUCAAGUCUGGAGAGAAGUAUCCCAGAGUUGCUUGGUUAGGGAUUUUACGGUGUUAAUAGACUACUAACUUUCAAUUUACCAUUCUUAGGAGUUUGACCCUUGUCCUUAAACUCUCGAAAUGCCUGUCAGAGGUCCAGACAACAUGUCUUAAUUUCAGAAAGGGAAAGGCAUAACCCACAUGUCAGCUGAGUUCGUCCCCUUUCUGAAAAAUCCCAUUCAGUGACUUCUAUUUUUAUUUAUUUUUUUUUUAAAGAUUUUAUUUAUUUAUUCAUGAGAGACAGAGACAGAGAGAGGCAGAGGGAGAAGCAGGCUCCCAAGGAGCAGGGAGCCCGAUGAGGGACUCGAUCCCAGGACCCUGGGAUCAUGACCUGAGCCGAAGGCAGACGCUUAAUGACUGAGCCUCCCAGGCGCCCCUGUGGUGUCUUUGAAACCAUGAGAAAACAAGAGUUCCAAGAGUGGUCAACUUUGUCAUGCUGCUGAGUGAGAGAAAUGACCGCUGAAUUUGCAGCGCAUUAUCAUUGGUAACCUUGACUAGAAUAUUUUCAUUGGAAUGGUGAAGAUGGAUAUAUGGUUGGACAGAGUAAGAGGAAGUGAAGUGAGGAACUGGCAGCUAUGGUCAACUUUUUAAAGUUUUGCUUUGACAGAAGAGCAGAGAAGAAAGGGGGAGCUGCAGAAGAAUAUGGCCUCAGAAAUCUUAAAAAAAUUUUUUUAAGGUUCUAUUUAUUUAUUUUAGAGAGAGAGAGAGAGUGUGCGCACGCAAGUGCGGGCAGGAGAGGGACAGGCAGAUUCUGUGCUGAGCUCAGAGCCCGACUCAGGGCUUGAUCUCACAACUCUGAGAUCAUGACUUGAGCCAAAAUCAGGACUCAGACACUUAACCAACUGAGCCCCCCAGGUGCCCCUUAAAAAUUUUCUCAUAUUCUACUGAUUAUGUUUAUAUGUUGAUGGAUGGGAGAAAUUGAUUAUGCUAGAGAAUGGAGGAGUAAUUGAACCUGCAAAGUCCUUGAGAAGAAUGGGGGGUGGGGGUAUUACUAGAUAAAUGGAAGGAUUAAUCUUUAAUAGGAGCAGAGACACUUAGGGCAAUGUUAAGUUUUCAUUUGGGAUUUGUGGUAUUCACUUGAACAUGAGACCAAUUAAUGAUGGCUGUGUGUGUGUUUUUCCCCAGCAGUGCUGCUUGGGGCAGACACAGGAAGGUGGUUUGGUUUUGUUUGGUUUUGUUUAAGUUAAUUGGGGAAUGAGUUUAACUAGCAGUGGGGCUUUGCCGUAUGAGUACCAUGAAGGAACAAAAGCAUCAAGGUUAGCAAGGAGUGAUUGGUAAUGAUGGAUAGUGGUGAUAUUCGAUUAAGCCAGCUAAUAGCUGGGUUUGGAGUACUAGUGAGCUUGAUCUAAGGAGGUUGGGAAUCUGAGAAACUUGAAAUGGAUUUCAGAGAAAGUACAGUUUCUGGUGAUGACAAAAUUAUGUGUAUGACCAUGGGGAUAAGAGCUUACAGUCUUUAAAUAUUUAUUAGAAUUGCAGUCUUUGUCUCCUUACUCUCUUUUGAGAAUUUAGAAAUGUGCAAAGGUGACAGGUAUAAGCAACAGUCUCUCAUCAGCCACAGAUUGCUGUUGCUAGUAACAUCUUUUUUUUUUUUAAACCAAAUCAAGGUCUUAGUAUGUAGUAUACUGUUUUAUAUUUUUUUCUCAUAAUAUAUUUUAUAUUUCCUUCCUUCCUUCCUAAGUAGGCUCCAUGCCCAAUGGGGGCUUGAACUCACCACCAUGAGAUCAAGACCUGAGUUGAGAUCAAGAGUUGGACGUUUGGGGCGCCUGGGUGGCUCAGUCACUUAAGCGUCUGCCUUCGGCUAGGGUCAUGAUCCCAGCGUCCUGGGAUUGAGCCUCGCAUUGGGCUCUCUGCUCAGCGGGGAGCCUGCUUUCUCCCUCUCCCUCUGCCUGCCACUCUACUACUUGUGUGCGCUCUCUUUUUCUCUCAAAUAAGUAAAUAAAUAGAAUCUUAAAAAAGAGAGAGAGGGAGAAAUGUUUGACUGAACCACCCAGGCCCUGAUAUAUCUUAUGUUUUCUAUGUGGCAUUAAAUAUUCUUUAAAAAUGUUUACUGUUUAGGGGUGCCUGGCUGGCACAGUUGGUGGAGUGGGCGACUCUUGAUCUCGGGGUUAUGAGUUCAAGCCCCAUGUUGGGUGUAGAGAUUACUUAAAAUCUUUUUUUUUAAGAUUUUACUUUAUUUAUUUGACAGACUACAAGCAGGGGGAAUAGCAGAGGGAGAGGGAGAAGCAGGCUUUCCACUGAGCAGGGAGCCCGAUGCGGGACUCGAUCCUAGGACCCUGGGAUUGUGACCCGAGCCGAAGGCAGCCGCUUAACCAUCUGAGCCCCUCAGGCGCCCCCCCACCUUUUUUGGGAAGAUUUUAUUUAUUUGACAGCGAGAGAGGGAACACAAGCAGGGGGAGUGGGAGAGGGAGAAGCAGGCUUCCCGUGGAGCAGGGAGCCUGAUGUGGGGCUCGAUCCCAAGACCCUGGGAUCAUGACCUGAGCCGAAGACAGGUGCUUUAUGACUGAGCUACUAAGAUUACUUAAAAUCUUUUUUAAAAGUUUGUUUAAAUAUUAAAUAGCAUUAAAUGUUAACAGUAUUUAAUUUAUAUAUCUAAUAUUUAGUAUUACCUGACUAAACCAUUCUUUUUUUUUUUUUUUUUUUUAAGUUUUAUUUAUUUAAGUAAUCUCUACACCCAACAUGGGGCUUGAACUCAAUGAUCCCGAGAUCAGGAUUCUCAUGUUCUUCCGACUGAGCCAGCCAAGCCACCCUAAACCGUUCUUUAGUUGAACAUUUAAAAGUUGUUUCUGGGGGCACCUGGGUGGGCUCAGUCGUUAAGCGUCUGCCUUCAGCUCAGGUCAUGAUCCCAGGGUCCUGGGAUUGAGCCCCACAUCGGGCUCCCUGCUCCGCGAAAAGCCUGCUUCUCCCACUCCCCCUGCCUGUGUUCCCUCUCUCGCUGUGUCUCUGUCAAAUAAAAAAAAAUUAAAAAGUUGUUUCUGUUUUUUCCACUGUGUGUGUGUGUGUGUGUGUGUGUAUUGAAUAGAAUAUCUUUAUAUAAUUUUUAUAUGAAUUUAUUUCCCUAAGAUAGAUAUCUUGGAAAAAAGUUACUGGUCUUUGUGUCUGAACUUUUCAUAUGCUGAUGACCAAAGUGCUUCUCAGAAAGUUUGUUGUAAAUUACUCUAGCACUGGCAUUGUAUGAGGCAGCCAAUUUCAUCAUAUUCUCUCCAUUAAUACAAUCUUUUUUUAAAGUCAAAUAGAAAAAUCAAUUGUCCAGUUUUAUUUUUUAAUUUUUUUUAACUUUUUAUUAAGAAAAAAAAUUUUUUUUUUAGGAUUUCAAAUCCUAUCUAUUUGAGAGAGAGAGGACGAGCUGCGUGGGGGGGCGGGAAUGCCACAGGGAGAGGGAGAAGCAGACUCCCUGCUGAGCAGGGAGCCCAGUGCGGGGCUUGAUUCCAGGACCCUGGGAUCAUGACCUGAGCUGAAAGCAGACGCUUAACUGACUGAGCCACCUAGGUGCCCCUUAAUUAAGAAAAUUUUCAAAUGGAAAGUUGAAGUAUACUUACAUUCCCACUAUCUAGAUUCAACAAUUGUUAGUGUUACUGAUAGGAAGGUAAUUCACUACUAAAAUCUUGAGCUUGCAUCUCCUAAAAAUAACAUUCUUUUACAUAACCAUAAUAUCAUUGUCCUGCCAAAGAAAAUGUUAAUUCCUUGGUAUCUAAUAUUCAUACUUCCUCAGGUUUUAUAGCCUUUUUUGGGAAGGAGGAGCAGGAUCUACUUAGGGUUUACAAAUUGCAUAUGAAUGUAAUUUUUAGUGUUUUAAAAUUUACAGUGGUUCUCUCACACACACCCUUUUGUUUUUUGACACUGAAAAUCCUGGAGAUUUCUUUUUAAAUAUUUUAUUUAUUUAUUUGACAGAGAGAGACACAGCGAGGGAAAGAGCACAAGCAGGGAGAGUGGGAGAGGGAGAAGCAGGUUUCCCGCUGAGCAGGGAGCCCGAUGCAGGGCUGGAUUUCAGGAUCCUGGGAUCCUGACCCGAGCCGAAGGCAGACGCCUAACGACUGGGCCACCCAGGCGCCCCAUGGAGAUUUCUUUAUGGUGGUGCUUUUUAUAUUUCUUGUAAACUGGGAAUUUAUAUAUAAAGGUUUGACUAGAUUCAGGUUAAACAUUUUUGGCAAGAAGUCUCCUAGUGUAGUAUAAAUUUCAUAUUCAGUCAUUAGUAGAUGUGCAAUAAUAUCAGGUUGUCUCACUGUUAGCGAUGCUAGGUCAUUUGAUCCUUGCCUGCAUCAGUUAUUAUUACAUUGGGGGUUGCAGAAAGUUGAUUUCCUAAUUGCUAACUUUACAUUUGCUUAGCUAAUAUUCUCCUAGAAAGAAGAGAUUUCCAUUGUCAACUGGAAUGAAAAUUAUUAUCAGAGUAAAGAUUUGAUAUAGUAGUCACCUCCAAUGGCAAUAAUGAUUUUCCCCUUUCUCUUUUUUUAUUACCAGUGUGUGGAUGUCUUGGUCAACCUAAGCUACCAUAGCGAAAUACCAUAGUCUGGGUGGCAUAAACAACAGAAACUAACUUUCUCACAGUUCUAGAGGUUGGGGAUUUCAAGUCACAGCUUCAAAAGUAAUUUGAGACCUUUGUUGUUUGAAAU